UGAACGCUGGCGGCGUGCCUAAUACAUGCAAGUCGAACGAAGAUGUUCUUGAGUUUACUCGAGAGCUCUUAGUGGCGAACGGGUGAGUAACGCGUUGGUGACCUGCCCUAAAGAAGGGAACAACCUCGGGAAACUGAGGCUAAUACCCUAUGUGCUUCUUAAGAUUUGACGCUUUUGAAGUAAAGGUUCUGAGGACGAAAGACUUCAGCGCCGCUUUAGGAGGGGCCUGCGUACCAUCAGCUAGUUGGUAGGGUAAUGGCCUACCAAGGCGAUGACGGUUAGGGGACCUGAGAGGGUGACCCCCCACACUAGCACUGAAACACGGGCUAGACAUCUACGGAUGGCAGCAGUAGGGAAUAUUGCACAAUCGACGAAAGUCUGAUGCAGCAACGCCGCGUGUGCGAUGAAGGCCUUCGGGUUGUAAAGCACUUUUCUGAGGGAAGAGAAAGGACGGUACCUCAGGAAUAAGUCUCGGCUAACUAC
rnacentral:rRNA from 1 species